rnacentral:rRNA from 1 species
UACGUAGGGUGCAAGCGUUGUCCGGAUUUACUGGGUGUAAAGGGUGUGUAGGCGGGCAGAUAAGUCGGAGAUGAAAUACCGGAGCUUAACUCCGGGGCUAUUUCCGAUACUGUUUGUCUUGAGGGUAAAUAAUGUGGCCGGAAUGGACGGUGUAGCGGUGAAAUGCGUAGAUAUCGUUCAGAACACCGAUUGCGAAGGCAAGUCACAGGUUUACAUCUGACGCUGAGGCACGAAAGCGUGGGGAGCAAACAGG